rnacentral:siRNA from 1 species
UAAAUGAACGUUUGUGUCUAUC